rnacentral:rRNA from 1 species
AGUGAACGCUGGCGGCAGGCCUAACACAUGCAAGUCGAACGGCAGCACAGUAAGAGCUUGCUCUUACGGGUGGCGAGUGGCGGACGGGUGAGGAAUACAUCGGAAUCUACUUUUUCGUGGGGGAUAACGUAGGGAAACUUACGCUAAUACCGCAUACGACCUACGGGUGAAUGCAGGGGAUCUUCGGACCUUGCGCGAUUGAAUGAGCCGAUGUCGGAUUAGCUAGUUGGCGGGGUAAAGGCACACCAAGGCGACGAUCCGUAGCUGAUCUGAGAGGAUGAUCAGCCACACUGGAACUGAGACACGGUCCAGACUCCUACGGGAGGCAGCAGUGGGGAAUAUUGGACAAUGGGCGCAAGCCUGAUCCAGCCAUACCGCGUGAGUGAAGAAGGCCUUCGGGUUGUAAAGCCCUUUUGUUGGGGAAGAAAAGCAGCAGGUUAAUACCCCGCUGUUCUGACGGUACCCAAAGAGUAAGCACCGGCUAACUUCGUG